rnacentral:rRNA from 1 species
GACGAACGCUGGCGGCGUGCUUAACACAUGCAAGUCGAACGGAAAGGCCCUGCUUUUGUGGGGUGCUCGAGUGGCGAACGGGUGUGUAACACGUGAGUAACCUGCCCUUGACUUUGGUAUAACUUCAGGAAACUUGGGCUAAUACCGGAUAGGAUCUCCUGCUGCAUGUUGUGGGUUGGAAAGUUUCGGCGGUUGGGGAUGGACUCGCGGCUUAUCAGCUUUUUGGUGGGGUAGUGGCUUACCAAGGCUUUGACGGGUAGCCGGCAUGAGAGGGUUACCGGCGACAUUGGGAAUGAGAUACGGCCCAGAGUGCAACGGGAGGCAGCAGUGGGGAAUAUUGCAAAAUGGGAGGAAGCCUGAUGCAGAAACGCCGCGUGCGGGAUGAAGGCCUUCGGGUUGUAAACAGAUUUAGCAUGAGAAGAAGAGUGAGUGACGGUAAUGGGUAAAGAAGCAACGGCUAACUACGUG